GGUCACAAACCAAAUUGGACAAGAGCCAAAUCAAAUCCAAUGGUUAGGUUCAGUGUUCUCCUUACAGGGAAAUUUGAUCUGGUGCUGUGUGUCCUCUGGCCUCUGCAGGACCCGUCUGCGCAGAGCUUGGAGAUUUGUCUCUAAGCAGAGUCCGGGAUGGUGGCCCGUCCUGUCCGGCUCACCCAGGAGAAAGUGACGGGUGCCAUGGAGCAGGGGUUACGGCCAGGUCCUCAGCCGGCGUGCGGAGCCCUACCUCAGCAGGCAGGCGUGGGUGUGGGCCUGGCUCCAGUGCUGCCCUCUGCUGGUCCUGGGGAGCGGGACUGUGGCUGUGCACAGAGUGCACUGAGAGGGUUCCUGAGCGUCAGCGCCCCUGCCGCGGCCCAGGACUCCUGGGCUCCUCGCUUACCAUGUGCCGAGCCAGAUGCUGGAGGCGUAGGGGAGGCUGCCGCAGGGCUGGGCCUGAUGACCACCCACACAUCUGACGCCCCCUGGGCCCAAGUCCCCUGUACACCCCAGGGACCAUCUCUCCCUCUCUCAACUCCCUCUGUCUCGCUCUGGGUCCGUGUCCCCUGGCUUCACGGAUGUCUCCUUGCCCCUCCCGUAUGCUUGGGAAAAAGGCCUUCAAGCUCUGCACGGCGGGCCAGAGAAGCGGGACCCUUCCUCCACCCUGUCACCGGAUUUGUUCUCCCACUCUCUCCUGUCCUGGGCAGAGCUCACCUCUACUCUGCUGAGAACGAGGCCUCCGGGCGGGCUCACUUGCCUCAGUUCCGCUCUUUUGGCUGGAGCCCCCUGCCCUGAGCCUACCUUUCUCCGGGACCUUCUGGCUGGGCGGCGCCCCAGCUCUGGGGCUCUGGAUGCUGCCGGCCACGGGGGUGCAUUGCUGAGGAUGGAGGGAGAUGGGCACUUCCCUUCCCCUUGGGGCAGUGAACGUGCAGGAGUCACCCCUCUGCUCUUGACCCAGAGACCCCACCAGCCCAUUUAUCACCUACUCAAGCCCAGGUGAGGCAGUGGGCAGUGCUCCCAGGAGACACGGACAUGGCUCAUAAACCCCUCUACAGUGAUGCUAACAAACUGAAUUAGUCUCCAUACAGGAAGUUUCAGCUUUCUGUCACUGAGACAACAUACUGGAAUAAUCAACUUCAAAGGAGGAAAGUUUUAUUUUGAUGCAUUUUCAGAGGGCUCAGUUUGCGGUCAGCCCCUUUGUGUUUGGGUCUGUAGCAAGGCAGAACAUCAGGUGACAGAGGAGUCUGCUCACCACAGCAGCUGGAAAAGAGAGAGGAGUAAGGGCUGAGGGUUCUGGGAUCCCUACUGUAGCCUGUUCCUAAUGACGAACUUCUUCCUCAAGCCCACCUCUCCUGCAGGUUUGUCUAUACUACAGCCUGUGG
rnacentral:lncRNA from 1 species